CUGCCCUGGAAAGCACUGAGGGACAGACAUUGUAAACAUCCUACACUCUCUACAGUGGAAAGUAAGAAAGCUGGGAGAAGGCUGUUUACUCUCUCUGCCUUGGAAAUCAACUAAAGAGGAACA
ensembl:miRNA